rnacentral:rRNA from 1 species
GACGAACGCUGGCGGCGUGCUUAACACAUGCAAGUCGAACGAUGAAGAAGAGAAACGCGAACUUCGGUUCAAAUUUCACUUCGGAUUAGUGGCAGACGGGUGAGUAACGCGUGAGCAACCUACCUCUUACAAAGGGAUAGCCUCGGGAAACCGUGAUUAAUACCAUAUGACACAUUCAUAAGGCAUCUUAAGAAUGUUAAAGCUACGGCGGUAAGAGAUGGGCUCGCGUCCCAUUAGCUAGUUGGUGAGGUAACGGCCCACCAAGGCGACGAUGGGUAACCGGCCUGAGAGGGUGAGCGGUCACAUUGGAACUGAGACACGGUCCAAACUCCUACGGGAGGCAGCAGUGGGGAAUAUUGCACAAUGGAGGGAACUCUGAUGCAGCGACGCCGCGUGAGCGAUGAAGGAAUUCGUUUCGUAAAGCUCUGUUCUAUGGGAAGAAAAGGACUGUACCAUAGGAGAAAGCCCCGGCUAAAUACGUG